rnacentral:lncRNA from 1 species
CGAUCUCCCCAUACCUAGCCGACGGUCAAAUUUCAUAUUUUCAUCAUUUCCAGGACCGUCCUCACAAAUCCAUGGUAACUACUUCAUCCCAACUCCACACAAACAAAGCAUAACAUUAUCACAACACAAUUAAUCAAACAUUGCAAUUAAAUGCAAGCAUGGCAAACAACUAAAUAUCAUGAUGCAAUUGCACAACUAGACAUUUAUAUUUAAUUACAAUUAAAUAAAGGAGUAGUAAUUAACAAUAUAUUAUAAUAAUUGAUCCUUGGACAAUAAACAAGUAAUUAAAUAAAUAAAUAAAUAAUAAUAAAAUAAUUAAAGAACGUUAUUUAUUAUAUAUCAAGUUAAAAAAUUAAUCUAAAUAAAUCUAUUAACUUAAUUAUUAAUUGUGACUAACCUAAAUUCUAUCGAAAUUCCGACAUAAUCUCUCUUAAAAUUUGACUAACCCAAAAUUCAAUAAUAAAUUCUCAAAGCCCAUCCUUCGGGCAAUUCAAAACAACCAAUCCUAUCUGCCAAAUCAUUAUUCAUUCGUUCAAUCAUUUACUCAAAUCACAUAGUCCAUCCGUCGGGCAAUCAAUCAAAUCAAGUACCCAUCCUCCUUAAAUAUUAGUAUUAACACCCAACUAUCUCAAUCACAAAUUUGCAAAUAUAGCAACUUUCAACCUGUUCCAACAAUACUCAUAUAAAAUUAUUUGUUAAAUCAUAAACUAACCAAAUUAAUAACUUUAUGGUAAUUAAAUUGUUAAGUUAUUAAAACUCAUUUUUAAUAAUAACUAUUUUUCACUACUAUUUACUUUAGAUUCGAUUCUUAUAUCAAUAUGGGAAGCGGUUAGGCUUUCCAAACUUAGUUUGUCAGAAUUAUGCAUCUAACCUCCGUUAACUGACUCAAAAAAAAAAAACUCAUCUUACUUUUCUCAUGCACAACCAACUAGUUUUAAGCUAAUGAUUAUACUAAUUAACUAACUUACUAAUUCCAAUAUAUCUUUCAAGUUUUGAUUUGUAACGUCUAUUAUAAAUGACUUGUAGUCUAAAUUUUUAAAAUUUAGUGUAUUUAUCUGACAAGGAUCCCUAAGGAGAAUCAUAUUCGAUUAAAGACUAAAAAUGUUCUAUCUACAUAUUUAUACAAAAAUUAAGAACCGGGUCUUCAUGCGUACCGAUGGAAAGUCGAAUGAUGAUUCCGCGAUCAGCGCGAGGAGAGGAAGAUUCUGUCUCUUGUUGCCUCGCCGGGGACUCGCCGUCCGGUCGCUAUACCUCCGCCGCCGCCUACGGUGGACGGAAACCAUUGACUGCUCGGAAUCGAGCGCUCAUCGCACUAUCUGGCUCGGUUUUCUGUUAGGAGUCCAUUUGUGGCAUUAGUUGUGCGAGAUCAGCCUUCUGUUCGACCGGAGCGGGCUGGACAGGAGACAAGUGCCGCUGCCAUCUUCGCUGCCGAUAAGGAGAGGAAACUACAGCUCGUCGGAAUCGCGAGCGAGGAAGAGACGCGACUGAACAGAGGCGAUCGGCGGCUGAAUAGCACAGAUUGGAGGUGCUGCUGCGUCGCCGGCAAGGAGAGACCGCAGCUCGCCUAUCCGCCGUGCUUGCCAGAACUGGAAACCAAAGGAGAGAAGGAGAGAAGCCGGAAAAAGGGACCAGCUGCUCCAAGGGAGUCAAUUGCCGCCUCGCUCUAGUCGAGCGGUGGCCGAAAACGGGAAGGAGGGAGGAGGUCGCGCCUGCGCUCGCUGGAGAGGGAAGAAGAAGAAAGAAAGUGGUUCUAGAGCUUUCUAGGCCAUUUUGGUUCGAUUCGAAUCGGUUUAGUCCAAUUCAGUGAUUGAUCCGAUUUUUGCUUGGUUUACGGAUUUUUACCUGGCUUUCGAAACACUCAAAUUGAUUUAUGGGUCCGGUUUAGUAAUAAUAAAAUAUUUGUUGUAUAAUCUAAUUGGUUGAAUUUAAAAUUUAGUUUUUAAAAAAAAUUCUACAAAAUUAAAUUUUUGGAUCGUUUCGGUUCAUUAAAUGAAAGAUUUUAUUAAUCUCUUAAUGAGUUAAUGGUAAAAAGCGCAAAAUAACUUUCAUUGAUUAAAUUCUUAAUAUGUGUAUUUUGUCAAACCAUGCAAACAAAAUAAGACGGGAGAGUAUUUUUC